CUGGGACCAGUUCACCUUCUUUGCCCUAGGAGCGUGGGAUGGCAGUGGAGGAGCUUCCUUCCAGAUGCUGGGACUGGCUCACCUUCUCUGCCCUAGGAGCGUGGUGUGGCAGUGGAGGACCCUCCUUCUGGAUGCUGGGACUGGCUCACCUUCUCUCUUAAUGAUUUCCAGAUGGUGUAAGUUUGGAAGGAUUUUCAGUUAUUAUAGCACAACUCCUUGGCCUCAACAUUGGAUUAACAUAUGAUGACAUAAAUAAUUGUUCAUGUCCAAGAGCUACAUGCGUAAUGAAUCAUGAAUCAGUGAGUUCCAGUGGUAUCAAGAUUUUUAGUAACUGUAGCAUGCAUGAAUAUAGGCAUUUUGUUUCAAAAAUUGAGGCAGAUUGACUUCACAACCUUUCAAAUUUUCAACUUCUGUAUCAAACUCAACCAUUGGCUGGCAGUGGGAUUUUGGAAUCUAAUGAAGAAUAUGACUGUGGUUACAAAGAGGUAAGCGAAGAAUGUUGAAAUACGAGCACAAUUUUUACAACUCUAAUAAAACAUGCUUGUCAAUGGAAUUAUAUAUGUAACUUUGUCUUACAUUUAUAACUGAGACAUAAGAAUGAGCAUAAGUUAAAGGAAUCACUUCCCCAUACCUCUUGAACUGAGAAGAUCAAUGUAGCCUGAAGUCCUGGUUUGCAUAGCUACUUCAAAUCACCCUUGGAAAUACAUUUUGAAUAUAUCAGGUAAAUUAAAUCCUUUUCAGCCAUGAUUCAGUUUCUAACUUAUAUGAUCUUAUUCUGUAUUUUUUUCUACACAAACUUCUGCAAAUGUUUUUCCAAAACUUUCCCUGUCCCUUGUGGUUGCAACAAUUUCUAGACAUCCUAAUAGGUUUUCUUUAGUCAUUCUCAAACAUUGCUGCAAUUAUAAAGUCUUGGAUGGUGAAGAAGCUUUUUCAGUUUGCUCAUUUCUAAAUAUAGAUAUUCAAACAAAUUUUCAAUACUCUCCUCUCAACCAGAAAGCCCAUGUAUUUAGUCUCUUGUAAAUAUUGUUGGUGUGUAUUUAAUGACUCCCUUCUAUUUAAGUAAAAUAAAGAAUCUUCAUGAUUCCCCCUAGCAGUACAUAAAUUAUUUCCUUUGACAAAAACAGAUGAGUACCACAUAGUUAUGUACCACUAAAUGCUUACAAGUUCUCUCAGGCAUCUGCCACUGCACACAGUAAAAUCUGAUAUGAAUGAAUGUCCUGGUGCACAUGUGUGCAUGUGUGUAUAUGUAGAAUCCAUAUAUGUAUGGUUUCCAGCUAGCAUGAACUUCUCAAAGCUGUCUUAUUUUGCUGAUAUGCAUUGCUAUGCUCAUCUUGGAUUCUCCUGCCCCUAGAUAUGUUGCCAUCUCUUUGUCGAUAAAUCCUGCUUUUAAAAUGAAAGACAGAAUAAAACAACACAGUCUGAAUAGAUCUGCACCCUGUGAGUUUCUACAACCAGAGGCUGUACCCAGACUGUCACAUAGAAGAUCCCUCCAGUGCCUCAUCAGUAUCUUCUUCACAGUAACUGUUGCCACAGUGUAUUUUUAAUCUUUAUUUUUUUAUUGGAAUGUCAAUUUAAAAAUUGCUGUGAUUUUAGAACAUGUAAGCUGAAAGGCUCAGCAGAAUGUGGUUCAGGACCAUGUUGCAGAUCAAACUGUGAGAUAUGUGAUAAUUUUGGUAAUUGCCAAUGCUUUCCAGACCACAGGCCCCCAGACUGUGAAUUCCGUCUUAGUUCACCAGGGGGCAGUAUUGACGAUGGAAAUGUUCAGAAAUCAGCAAAUCCUUCUUUCAUUGUUGAUCUUCAUCCCAGUAUCAAAGUGGUGUUUCUUCCUCUAAACCCCACCUCUUCAAUUCAACCAGUUGAUCAAGGAAUUAUCUCACUCUUUAAGACUUACGACCUGGGAAGACUUUUGUCAGGCUGUUUGCACAACUGAGGAAGACACUGAGAAGACAUGCAGUCCACAGUGCAGUAUCUGCUAGAGCUGAGGAAGACACUGAGCAGAUAUUGGUGGCUAUGGUGCAUUAUUGGCCUACAAACAAAUCUAUAAUGGAAGAGAAGAAGAGAAAGAAUGCAUCCACUGCACCAGAAAGCUACCACGUGGAAUAUGAAGACUGCCAAGGUCGCCAGCAAAUGGCCUAAAGAAGAAAAUGAGCUUUAUAACCCUAAAGUCCCGC
rnacentral:lncRNA from 1 species